AGUUGUUCAUAUCUUUUCAGGGACAUCAUUCUGAAUAAAUAAAUAAAUAAACAAAUAGGGGGGAGAUGUUAAUGGAAAACCAUUAGUGUAAGAAGACACUUUACUAAUGAAUGGAAUUAUUUUAGUUUCUCUUCUACAUCCGUUUCUAGAUUGUCCUGCUAUGCAACAUGUUUAGAAUUAUUUUACUUUGCUUGUGUCUAUCAUUAUUAUCACUGAUGUGAAAUGAAUGGCUAAGACUCUUUUGCAUUGUGAUGUGAUAUUGCUUGAUAUUCAAUAUCACUUUACCAAUAUUGCUUGAUAUUCAAUAUGUUAUAUCUUAUGUUCACUUGUGCUAUGUUAUUAACUGUCAUCAUUUAGUCAUCUUUAUUUUUGGGUUUACAUUGAGAACAGAGAUGGGAAGGAAGAAUUCUAAUGAAAUUGGGGGAAGUGGAUCACAAGUUAAAGCUGUAUGGAAUGAUUAUAAUGUAUCCAAAUUCUGUGAUUUGUGCAUCAACUUGGUGGAUGUUGGACAUCGUCCUAAUACUCAUUUUGACCGAGAAGGAUGGGAGAGUUUGGUAGUAAAUUUCAGUAGAGAGACCGGCAAUAACUAUGAUAAAACUAAAUUGAAGAAUAAGUGGGAUUCACUUAAAUUGAAUGGAAGUUGUGGAAAGACCUAAUUGGCAAGGAAACUGGGUUAGGUUGGAAUCCAAGCAAGGGUACUAUUGAUGCAUCUAUCGAAUGGUAGCAUAGUAAGAUUCAGGUCAAUCCUGAUUAUGCAAAAUUCCGUAAGAAAGGUCUUAAUCCAUAAUUGGAGGAAAAGCUAGAUAGAAUGUUUGCAACCAUUACAGCCACUGGUGAACAUGCUUGGGCACCUUGUGGAAAUCUUCCAGCUCCCGUUGCAGACACAUGGAAGGAUGAUGCCAUUUCGCUUGAAGGCAGUGAUGAUUCGGAGGAUUCUAUACUGAUAGGAAUAAAUGGGGGUAAGGAAGGUGUUUCAAAGAGGGGAAAAAAAGAAUGAAAGAAGCUGAAUUACAAGCUCAAGUGGAAAAGAAAUCUAAGGGACCUAUUAAAUUAGGCAAGAAGAAGGUGGGAGGUGCUGCAAAGUUGUUGGAACAAACAGAAUGUUUUAUUGAUGUAGUUGAGAAGGGGAAUGCUGGAAAAUCAAGUAGUGUGAACAACACAGAAGGGUGUACUAUUGCUCAAGUGAUGAAAGCACUUGAGUCUGUCCCUUAUUGUGAGCCUGGGAGUCCUUUGUGGUUGUUUGCAACUCGACUCUUUCUAAAUAAAGAAAAGAGAGAGAUGUUUGUCAUCAUGAAAGAUGAUGUAGUGAAGCUUCAAUGGCUUCAAUAUGAAAAUGCUGAAAAUUAGGGAGGUGUAGAACUGAGUUUUGAAAUAGGUUAAAGAUUUGGUUUAUGUUUUGAAGUUUAGUUUGUUUUGUUAUUUGGAUUGUUGAAUGAUUGAAUAAAUGACUUUAUCUCUGGUUUUCAUUCAUAUAUUAUUUCAUUAGUGGUGGUGUCUUUAUUU